UACGUAGGGUGCGAGCGUUAAUCGGAAUUACUGGGCGUAAAGCGUGCGUAGACGGUUAUGUAAGUCAGAUGUGAAAGCCCCGGGCUCAACCUGGGAAUUGCAUUUGAGACUGAAUAGCUAGGGUGCGGAAGAGGGAAGCGGAAUUUCCGGUGUAGCGGUGAAAUGCGUAGAUAUCGGAAGGAACACCAGUGGCGAAAGCGGCUUCCUGGUCCAGCACCGACGUUCAGGCACGAAAGCGUGGGAGCAAACAGG
rnacentral:rRNA from 1 species